rnacentral:sRNA from 1 species
UUUUUUUCGCAUAUGACAUAACUUGAAUUUUUAAAAAGAAUAUAAACUGUUCAAUACAUGAAAAAUAUUAUAACGGGUCAAAAAUAGAUUUAAGAAAAUUUUCUACUGAGUACUGAGUCAUAAUUUGAAUAUUUAUAUUCAAUUUCAUACAUAUUAUUUUAAAAUUUAUAA